GCUUCCCGAUGAUGAUCAAACUAUACUUUCGUUCUUCUGAUGUGCUAUCUUGGUGCUGUGCGGAAGCAAUUUGGAGACCUGAGCUGAGGAAAU
rfam:Triticum urartu cultivar G1812 contig617747, whole genome shotgun sequence.